rnacentral:lncRNA from 1 species
CCUGUUGUUGACCCAUGCUCUGCCGCUCUUCCAAAGAAGGAGGAAAAUACUUUGCAGGUGCCUUCCUCUUAUCCUCUCUCGCCGACAAGAGACAAGCAGGUGAAGACUUCUCAAAACUGAGCCUGAUCAUGCAGCUUUCCCAGCCCUGCCGUCUUUCCAAGGCUCAGGAUGGCCUCCUCCACUCUGCAGAGAGGAAGAAGAAAGGACUUCCUGCCAUAUAUCCACUCUAGGCUGUUGUACUCAUCACCAUGUCAGACAAAGUGGAAGCAUGGUCACCUUUGCCAGUUUAUAAAAGAGGCCAGUCAAUUACCUCCUGCAAGAAGAGAGUCUCCAAACGGGGGAGAGAGCAGAUUGUGCCCUUUGUGCAGUAACAGAAAUUUGGUGACUCUGGUGGGACUUUAAGUCCUGCUCACAGCCAGUCAAGCUUGGAUGGUGACCUGUCAGGAGGAAAUAAUAUCUGGUUUACAGUGCUAUUGGUGACAGAGAAAUGGGAUAACACCUGGGAGCACCUGGCAGAAUCCUCA